AGUGAACGCUGGCGGUAGGCCUAACACAUGCAAGUCGAACGAACGCACGGUAAGAGUUCGCCCUUACGGUUGGCGGGUGACGGACGGGUGAGACAUACAUAGCAUUCUAAUUUUUCGUGGGGGAUAUCGUGGGGAAACUUCCGAUACUACCUAAUACGUCCAACGGGAGAAAUCAGGGGAUCUUCGGACCUUGGCCGUUUCAUUGAGCCGGUGCCGGAUUAGCUAGUUGGGGGGGUAAAGGACCACCAAGGCAACGAUCCGUAGCUGGUCUGAGAGGAUGAUCAGCCACACUGGAACUGAGACACGGUCCAGACUCCUACGGGAGGCAGCAGUGGGGAAUAUUGGACAAUGGGCGCAAGCCUGAUCCAGCCAUACCGCGUGAGUGAAGAAGGUCUUCGGAUUGUAAAGCCCUUUUGUUGGGGAAGAAAAGCAGCAUAUGUAUCCCCCGCUGUUCUGACGGUACCCAAAGAAUAAGCACCGGCUAACUUCGUG
rnacentral:rRNA from 1 species